GGAGGGGUGGCAGAACGGCAAUGCACCGCACUCGAAAUGCGGCGCCCUCACGGGCUUGUGGGUUCGAAUCCCACCCCCUCCGCCU
rnacentral:tRNA from 1 species